GGGUGUCCUCCCGGUCCCAGACGGAGGAGCAGUGCACAGAGGAGCUUUUUGACUUCCUGCAUGCCAGGGACCACUGCGUUGCUCACAAACUCUUUAAGAAGCUGAAGUGAAGGCGGGCGCAAUCGUCCAUCUGCUUCUGCAGCCCGUGUCUGCGGUUCCUGGAUUCACAGUACUGCAUCCUGCCCGGUCAUUCUCCAUGCCAAGUAUAAACGAAAUGGCUUCCCGGCAGCGACCGAGCGCCAGCGUGUCACUGCGCCUGUUCUCGCAGAAGAUGCGCAGCCACGCAAAACCCAUGUUGAUGUGCUGUAAUUUUCCAUAUUAAACAUUCAGAGUUCCCAUGGAAAUACCCUCCGUUUAUGUCCUUGUUCUUGCGCUUCUGGCUUGUACUGGGUUAAGACAAAAUUACCAGGGAUCAGAGCCCAGUUUGUGGGGGGAGCCUUUUCUGUGCUCAUGGGAACAUCCUCUUUGUGCAGCCACGAUGCACAGCGGGUGGGGCACGAUCCCACAGGUAAGAAGUUUGUCUGUUGGAGUCACAAAGGUGUUUCUGAGCCCCACCAGACCAAUAUUGUUCACGCAGUUAAGUUCUGACUAAAUUAAGCUAAAGGGAGUGACUCUUUUCUAGGAGAGAGGUUUCCCCCCUUGGGGGGGAAACUCAGCUGUCCCUCGCUGUCACCUACUGCUGCCAGCGGCUGGGGGAGCCUCCUGGCCCCCUGUGGCUUCGUGUUCUUGCCCGGAGCGAGGGACCACACGGGUGCAGAUGGGCACAGUGGUGCUUUCACCUGUGCAAACCCCGGCCAUGAAGCUGGGGCAACCAGAGCCCUUCGGCAUGAGCCAUCAGCCCUGUUGGCUGACCUGGGACUGUCCUGUGGGUCAGGUCCGCACUCCCCAUUUUUCUUCUGAGUAGGAUGCUCAGUAGCAGGAAAACUGAUGCUUCACAGGGCGGCAAAUCCUUUCGCGGCUAUUCUUCGAGG